ACAGACUAUGAAAACCGAAAUUUAUUAUUAUGAAGUUGUAUUCUGGAUGGGGAGAAUAUUGAUAAUGUAGAUAGGUGCUCAUUACUCCACGGCCUACCAGCUACCAUGCUACCAGCUAUCUGUAUUUAAAAUAAAUAAAAAUAGUUGUGUAUUUCAUAUUUGAUCGUUCAUUCUUUGUUCUGAAAAUGUUUGGUCAUUCUUGAUUUCAUAACCUCUGUCAUCUGCUGUUAUUACUGAUA